GUUCGAAUUAAGCUGUGCUACUUUUUGUCAGUAAAUACUUGUAAUUAGUUGAAUUUGAACUUACAGUGUUUUCCAGUGCUAAUUAGGGUAAUUAAUGUAAUUAUUGAUCAAACAGCACUGUAUCUUGAUAGAGGAUUAUAAUGAUUAACAUGUCCUUUAUUCCGAUUUAAUCACUAAAGUCAUUCAAAUAAGCCAAGAAGAAGUUAAAGUGUUGGGGCUUAGAAGAGACUAAAUAAGCAAACUUAAAUCGUACUAUGUGUGAAAACAAAGAGAUAUUUUUCCUGUUAUGCUUGAUUUCUUCUAUGUAAGCGGGCAGGAGAUGAGUUUUGCAGUCCUUGUUUGAAAAGUGUGAGCUAAGGUCAACAUGGGAAGCUUCUUUAAUUCAGUCCAGUGUUUCUCUGUUUAUCUCCCUUCGACUUUUUUUUUUUUUUUUUUAGUGGGUACUGAUUAUUUUAGACUACAUCUUUCCAACAUUCAAUACAUAAAACAGUCCAACAAACAAACAGAUGCCCAACCAAAUCAGAAUUUUUUUUUCCCAAUAUAUAGAUAUCCCAAUAGAAUGAAAGUACCACUGUCCUCAAAUAUUUGACAAAUAAGUUUUAAUAAAUAAGCUAAUACCGGGCUUUAAUUAUCUUAUAAGAGAAAUGUGAUAAAUGUUGAUCAAUCAGUAGCACUUCAAAGCAAUUUAGCACUGUAAGGGAUAAUAUCCCCACAUAGUGUUUUGUACUGGAGACACUUAACAAAAAGGAAGCACUCUUCACACUGUAAUAUUUAAUGUAUUUACCAUUUGAGGUUUGUUUCUUUGUUUUUAUCUGAAAAUAAAAAAUCCAUGGAAACACUUUAGCAUAUAAAAUAAUAUAAUUAUUAAAGCUAUCAUAGGCACAAUUGUAAUAUGAAUUUUUAAGGCACCAUCUGUUUUGACAAUUUGCUAAUUAAAUAUGUCACAAAAGUGGCAGCUUGCAUUUGAAGACAGUGAAAGUUUAACACAUCUGAAGCAUCCCUGGCAUGGUUCCUGUGACUCAUCCAUGG
ensembl:lncRNA